AUUGCUGUUAGCCUUGCCCAAGGUGGCCCAGCUCCAGCGCUUUUUAAAGACUGGUGCUACAACUUUUUCUGCAGUGGAGAAGUGGACUUAGGCUCUCUGAAUAAAGAGGAUGUAACAGAUUUGGACUCUGCCCUACUAAUCAGCAGGGUUGAAAAUGCAGCAGAUGCAGAGUCUUUAAUGUUGUUGGCGGAGGACUUUGUAAACUGUGGAUACACCACCCAGAUCAAGAUGGACAACAAAGAACUGAUAAUUCGUGCUAUUAUUUUGCAUUCCACCACGAGACUAAUUCCAAUGCUGCAACAACUCAGGAAGGGCCUGAAACUCUAUGGUCUGGUCAACCAGAUGAAUGUAAAUGCUGAGGCUUGUCGACCCCCGUUUGUUCCGGGGACAAUCACCAAACCAGAUGCUGACUUCAUCAUGAUGAAUUGCCAGCCACAAUACAGUGAAAAGGGGACAUCCAAAGAAAGAGCUGAGAGGAAUAUUAUAAACUUCCUGCAAGAUUUCUUGGAGGAGCUUGAGAUAUCAGAAAGGGACACGGCAGGUGCGUCAGGUGAAGUGUCAGAAUGUCUUGCAGUCCAGCAUGUGCUUCAGUGGAUGACAGGGCAAGCCCUCACUCCCAUUCUUCCAAGUGAAAAGCAAGAUUUUAAGAUAACAUUCAGGUUUGACCACGAGUGCAGGGAGCGUUUAGGGGAUCACUCCAUUUGCUAUCCAGUAGUGAGUGCAUGUACGUGUACUGUCACAUUUCCAGUACGACAUUUGAAAACUUACUCUGAGUUUCAAAGGAUCAUGACAGAAGCUGUUCAGCAUGGUGGUGGAUUCCAUAGAGUUUAACAUUUAUAUAUCUUUUUAAAGGCAGUUAACACUGGGGGAACUAAUCAACCCACCCAGCUGAUUUAGCCCAUUUCAUAAGUUAAAAUAAAUAUAAAGUUAAAAUAAAAUUAACUUGAUGGAAGUUUAAUUGCAAUGAAAAUAGAAAUACUGAAGAAAACACAUCACAUAGAAGUUUCAAAAUUAUUUGCAGUCCAGUUUAUUUCUUAGCAACUUAUCAAUUUUUCUGUCUCUCAGGAAACAAAGCUUAAAAUAACAUUAAAAUGCGUAAAUUUCUGUGUGGAGAACCUGUUUGAUGUUCUGAACUGAUGAAACUGGCAGGUGUUAUUUAAACUGUCCAGAUUUAUGUAAAAAGUCUAAUACUCAAAUGUUGAUGUUUUGACACCAUGUUUUGUAUUCAAUGUACAAGUCUCAGCCAUGUUCUUCAGAAGGAUCUAGAGGAUUGAUGGUUCUCUGAAGUUCUGCAAGGGUGUCUUCAUCCAAUGGGCACUCAACCUCAGGAACCACAACUGCACUGUUGUCUUCUUGGAGCACAGCACUCUCCCAGUCAAUUCCUGGGUCCCGAAGGUCCUUCAAGCCCAGACACAGGAGAAGUGAUCAACAUAAGUUGACCGGGGAGCGUGCCUGUCCCGACGGAACUUUUUUUGCGGGAUACAUCUUGGACCCGUGGCAGAAAUGGUCCACGGUGUGCCUCUCAAUUCUUUCUGUUGAGGACGUCGAAGAUGUCUACUUAUUCGGAUUUAUGAUACUUGGAUUCCUCAUUUUUGGCUUUGGAGGAUAUUUAAUGUAUCAACACCUUCAAAAGCUGCUGGCGGUAAAUAUGGCCCUGAUGAGACUGCCAGUGGCAGUCGACGCGAUCACGAGGUCGUUGAAUGAACAAAACGGACGGCUUGAUAAGCUGACCGCGGUUGUGGUACAGAGGUGAGAUGGGAUAAAACCUGGAAGUGUGAACGUUACUAGCCCAUCGAUUGGAUUAUUGGAAUAUUGGAUCCUGGAGCCAGCGGCGAAAAGACUCUAAGGCUGACAGAAAAGUUGGUGUCAGCUUGUUCUCAUAACAAAUUCUGUUUUCUUCAAAUCGGACUCCCCGCUAUCAAAUUCUCCCUGGUUGUUAUGGCGACAUCGCACAAAUUCCCUGCUACCCCACAUUCCUGCGGACAUCUGUGGAGGAGUCAAGCCGGAGCGGCAGAGUGAUAAGACUUUCCACCAAGGACACUUGCCUGCCGGAGGACGGCCUUCAUGGACAUACAGAUUUCCACACAACAUGCACCCAGACACACAUAUGCUCACAAAUACAGAUGACUUACCCGACCAGAAC